UUUGGUUUAUUUUGAUAACUCUACGUACUUAUAGCUUUAUGCUGACCAUAAAUGUUCAUUCCACGUCUAUUGCUACUGCCUUUUCAAUGUUGUCUGUUCAGACAAAAGGUAGACAUAAAGGUAGACAUAUAUGUAGACAAAAAGGUGGACACAAAGAUAGACAUAAAGGUAGACAUAAAUGUAGACAUAAAGGUAGACAUAAAGGUAGACGUAAAGGUGCACAUAAAGGUAGACAUAAAAGUAGACAUAAAGGUAGACAUAAAAGUAGACACAAAGGUAGAC